rnacentral:rRNA from 1 species
CGAGCGCAACCCUACCUUUAGUUGCCAUCAGGUAAUGCUGGGGACUCUAAAGGAACUGCCUACGCAAGUAGUGAGGGAAGCGGGGAUGACGUCAAAUCAGCACGGCCCUUACGUCCAGGGCUACACACGUGCUACAAUGGCCGAUACAGAGGGCAGCUACCUGGUGACAGGAUGCAAAUCUCCAAAGUCGGUCUCAGUUCGGAUCGGAGUCUGCAACCCGACUCCGUGAAGUUGGAUUCGCUAGUAAUCGCGCAUCAGCCAUGGCGCGGUGAAUACGUUCCCGGGCCUU